CAGUCGCCGCGGAAUACGCAGGUCCCGAGCGUUGUCCGGAAUUAUUGGGCGUAAAGGGAGCGCAGGCGGGCGAGUAAGUCUUUCUUAAAAGUGCGGGGCUCAACCCCGUGAGGGGAGAGAAACUACUCAUCUUGAGUGCAGGAGAGGAAAGCGGAAUUCCUAGUGUAGCGGUGAAAUGCGUAGAUAUUAGGAAGAACACCAGUGGCGAAGGCGGCUUUCUGGACUGUAACUGACGCUGAGGCUCGAAAGCCAGGGGAGCGAACGGGAUUAGAUACCCCCGUAGUCCCUGUCUCUUAUACAC
rnacentral:rRNA from 1 species